rnacentral:lncRNA from 7 species
AUUUUUAUCUGGAGAUCAAUGCCAUUUGAACCCAAAUCUGCUAUAAGAACAUAGGUGACUGUAAAUGAAGUGCAACACAUGAAUGUAUUCCCCCUGAGAAAUGCAAUGAACUAUUUUUCCAUCGAUUGCAGUAAGAUUUCAUCAUACAGUGAAAUCAUUCUUCUGAUUCUUUCCAGGUCAAAAAACAGUGGAAAAAGAGCUGCAACAGUUGAAUAGUCAGAAACAGUAUUGCAAGUUCCUUUAUCUUCCCCUACUGCGAUCUCCUGGUUGCAUUUGCCUCAAUUUCACAUCAGGUGUCCCUUAACAAAAUGCGCAGCAUCUGUCCUGUCCCCAGGAAAGCCCGUGUCUCUUUUAGUAGGAUUUUUGGUUUGUGUUGAUUUUUUUUCCUCACUUUAAUUCAUGCUCUGUUUCAUUGACUUAUAAAAUUACCCAGGGCACCAGAAAUACCACAAACAUCUCUGUUACAAGGCAGGUGGCCAGAAACCACUGUCUGCUGAGGUAUACGUGUUUUGAAUUAUCUUCUGACAGACUGGAAUUGUGGAACUCUGAGCCUUGUUCUUAAAGGAAAAGAAAGUACUGCAUUCUUUAUCUUAACUUAAAAAUAACAUUAUGUAUACAUUGAAGAGGCAAAGUGUAAGCUCUAACCCUGAGAAAAAAUAUAUUCUUCUGUUCUUCAUACCAUUCUAAACUGAGCAUUUUGUGAGGCUUUAAUAAAUUGUAUUUUUCAUGUUCUCUUUGUAUUUAUAUAUCCUCUUCUGCAAUAUGUAGACUUACCACGUCAUUAGCUCUAAAUUUUACAUUUUUAAGCUGAUGUAAUGAAGUAUUUCAAUUUAGCGUUUAGUAUUUAGUAUUAUUUUUAGUCUAAUUGGUCUCAGCUAUUGCCUCUGUCUUUUUUUUUCCCAUUUUGUUUUUAAGGGAGAUCUUACAGUGCCUACUUGUCAAAGUAUUUAAGAACCUCCACCACUUUAGCCAUACACUUUAACCUGUAUUCAAGUGAAUUAUUAAUAAAUUUCUAAAAGCUUUGAUUGGAUCAG